CCCACCUGCAGCUCUUCAUAUCUCUGUCACCACACCGACAGACAGACAGUAUAGGACACUCAGUUUUAGAACAUGGACAUUAUCAAACAUGGACGCCUCAGCUUUUUAAUAUCACUGCUCUGCAUACAAGGUCUAAUUGAUGGGAGUGAUGUCACCCAGCAGCCUCUGCUGUGGAGGCCCGAGGGUCAGUCGGCCACAAUCAACUGCAGUCACACUAAGGAUGCUACUUUUUUCCAGAUGUACUGGUACAGACAGCUGCCAGGGGAGGGAAUGAAGCAAAUCGUUUUCACGACUACAACUCCCCCACAUAAAUAUGAAAGUGGCUUCAGUGAGGAGAAAUUUCCAGCAACAAGGAGCAAUGCUCUGACUGGAUCUUUGACGGUGGAGAAGCUGCUGCCUGAGGACAGUGGAGUGUAUUUUUGUGCUGUGAGUCAACACAGUGAUGCAGGUGACUGAGACAGCUGUACAAAUACUCAUGUGAAUACAAGUUAACAGUCUCUUUGAUGGACUACAGAGGGAGCUCUAAACUAACACUGAUACUGAUAUCUGUUACCAACUGCACAUGUAGAUUCCUGUUAGCAUUCAGGUAGGGCUGCAACUACUUUCAUUGUCAAGU